UGGAACUUAGAAGUUCUUGAUGUUCUGUGUGAUAUCAGCAAUGUUUGAACACGAUGUUCAAACAAGCCGUCAUUGAGCCAUGGAUGGCGAAUUGACGGCGGUUGCGUGCGGUAGAAAUAUAUAAAUCAGAACAUCUAGUACUUCUUAGUUU
rnacentral:ncRNA from 1 species